rnacentral:lncRNA from 1 species
UUUCAAGAAAAGGCCCUCAGCUCCUGAACAUGUAACUUUUCUGAAUUCAAUGACAGUGACUCCUUUUGAUAAAGGGAAUUUCCGUUCGUUUGUUUUAAAAAAAAAUUUUUUAACGGUCUCUAUUUUUAACACUCUCAGCUGAAGCCCCAAGGUUGGCUUCAUGAGGCCCAGGGUCCAGGACAUCUCCUUUCCCAUGAAACUGUUCUGCUGAAGCACCUGGGGGGUGGGGGGGCUUUGUAUUCAUUCAUUCAUCCCACAUUCACUCACUCAUUCAUCCCACAUUCACUCACUCAUUCAUUCAUCCCACAUUCACUCAUUCAUUCAUCCCAAAUCACACAUUCAUUCAUUCAUCCCACAUUCACUCACUCAUUCAUCCCACAUUCACCCACUCAUUCAUUCAUCUCACAUUCAGUCAUUCCUUCAACACACAUUCCCUCAUUCAUCACACAGUCACUCGUUCAUUCAGCCCACAUUCACUCACUCAUUAAUUCAUCCCACAUUCACUCACUCAUUCAUUCGUCCCACAUUCACUCACCCAUUCAUUUCAGUCACUCACUCAUUCAUUCAUCCCACAUUCACUCAACCAUUCAGCUCAGUCACUCACUCAUUCAUUCAUCCCACAUUCACUCACUCAUUCAUCCAAAAUUCACUCAUUCAUUCAUUCAUCCCACAUUCACGCACCCAUUCAUCCCACAUUCACUCACUCAUUCUUUCGGCCCACAUUCACUCACUCAUUCAUCCCACAUUCACUCAGCCCACAUUCACUUACUCACACAUUCAUCACACAUUCACUCACUCAUUCGUCCCACAUUCACUCAGCCCACAUUCUCUCACUCACACAUUCAUCACACAUUCACUAGCUCAUUCAUUCAUCCCAUAUUCACUCACUUUUCACUCAUCCCACAUUCAUUCACAGGCAUCCAUCCAUCCAUUCCACAUUCAUGUGUCCCUGACAGAUGUCAGGUGUCAGGUGGUGGGACCUGUUCCAGGAAUUGGAGACAGAGGGCAAGCCAUGCAGAAGGCAGGUAAACCAGACAGUGUUGGAGUGACCUGGGCUCUGGGAGAGAAUCAAACAGGGGACUUAUCAAACUGUGAGUGUUAGGGAGGCUUCUGAGGAGGUGACAUUUGUCAAACCUAUGACCUUGUGUCCUGUAUCCUUC